CCUACGGGACGCAGCAGCAGGGAAUAUUGCUCAAUGGGGGAAACCCUGAAGCAGCAACGCCGCGUGGAGGAUGAAGGUUUUCGGAUUGUAAACUCCUGUUGUAAGAGAAGAUAAUGACGGUAUCUAACGAAUAAGCACCGGCUAACUCCGUGCCAGCAGCCGCGGGAAUACGUAGGGUGCAAGCGUUACUCGGAAUCACUGGGCGUAAAGAGCGCGUAGGCGUGAUAGCAAGUCAGAUGGGGAAUGCUAUUGCUUAACCAUAGAACUGCAUUUGAAACUGUUAUUCUAGAGUAUUGUGGA
rnacentral:rRNA from 1 species